CCAAUGUUGACAUCCAGGGAUCUUGGUUCUCCUUGUUUCUCUGGCUCUGUCUCUGUGGCGAACGGGAGCUGAACGCCCCCACCCCGGGGCUUGAGGUGUAUUCCCUUUCCACAACAUUGGAGAGAAACCCGGUCCCCUGAUUUUAUCGGGUGUGGACCGGACCCUGCAUAUUCCAUAACCUUCCCAGAGUCACACUGACAGUUACUGGGGAGAUAAGCCAUGCAGGGUAUAUAC